AUUGAACGCUAGCGGGAUGCUUUACACAUGCAAGUCGAACGGAGUGGCGGACGGGUGAGCAAUAUAUCGGAACGUGCCCAGUAGCGGGGGAUAACUACUCGAAAGAGUGGCUAAUACCGCAUAAUCUUGGAUCGGCCGAUAUUGGUUGAGCUAGUUGGUGGGGUAAAGGCUCACAAAGGCAACGAUCCGUAGCUGGUUUGAGAGGAUGACCAGCCACACUGGGACUGAGACACGGCCCAGACUCCUACGGGAGGCAGCAGUGGGGAAUUUUGGGAAAUGGGGGAAACCCUGAUCCAGCCAUCCCGCGUGUGUGAUGAAGGCCUUCGGGUUGUAAAGUACUUUUGGCAGAGAAGCGGUAUCUGCAGAAUAAGCACCGGCUAACUACGUGCCAGCAGCCGCGGUAAUAC
rnacentral:rRNA from 1 species